rnacentral:rRNA from 1 species
CGAAAGCCUGACGGAGCAACGCCGCGUGAGGGAGGAAGGCUCUUGGGUUGUAAACCUCUUUUGCUUGGGAAGAAGAUCUGACGGUACCAAGCGAAUCAGCAUCGGCUAACUCCGUGCCAGCAGCCGCGGUAAUACGGAGGAUGCAAGCGUUAUCCGGAAUUAUUGGGCGUAAAGCGUCCGCAGGUGGUUAUUCAAGUCUGCUGUUAAAGACUGAAGCUUAACUUCGGAAAGGCAGUGGAAACUGAAAGACUAGAGGUCAGUAGGGGUAGCAGGAAUUCCCAGUGUAGCGGUGAAAUGCGUAGAGAUUGGGAAGAACAUCGGUGGCGAAAGCGUGCUACUGGGCUGAAUCUGACACUGAGGGACGAAAGCUAGGGGAGCA